rnacentral:lncRNA from 1 species
CGGUCUCAACUUGCCAAUUAUGCUUUCCAGAUAUUACAGGGGACUCCGAUUGGCUCUCCCCGAGUCACGUGCUCCCUGCUGGCCAAACAACAGUAGCCUGGAGUGUGAAGGGCUUCAGCUGGUGGCGCUGGCUGCUUGACUUUCUGGAAAUGGAUGCCAUGCAAGGUUGCAUUUUGACCAGGGGGAAGGAGGUCAUUCUUGAGGGUGGCUGGAUCGAUUGUGAGUCUGCCCCAGCUCCAGAGACACGGCAAGUUCAUGGGAUCUCACUCCUAAAUUCAAAAGUUAAGACAAUGAGGACGGCUGUCUUACAAGACCUAAUGGCCCUUGACGUACUAACAGCAGCGCGAGGAGGAACCUGUGCCAUCAUUAGAGUGCUGUGUAUAUAAACCUGACAACUGGGACAAUAUGUCCCCAGUCCUCCAAGAUUUACAUACUCAAAUUAAAUCUCUUGUCAAGCCCUGC